UGAUCUAAAAAUCAAAAAAUUGUUAUAUUAUUAAAUUCAAAAAUCCUAUCUUAUUUUAUAGGUAAAUACUUGUGAUUGCUCAUUUUACUUAUUUCGGAAGAAACCUCCUAGAAUAAACCCGUGUAAGAGGAUUCGAAUACGAGAAAUGCCUAGUUACUUAAGCGUUCACGUUAGGGUCACACAAUCAAUUAUCUCCUGAAUGUAUCGUCUCUAUUUCCAAUAUCCGAACACACAAGGAAACUAUAAUCUCCUCCUUCACCUUAUUGGACUCUUCCUUAUAGCAAUUCAGUUAUACCAAUAACUGCUAUUUCCACCAAUAUAUUCACUCUCAUAAUCUCCAACUGUAAUACUACGCCUUCAUAGCUUUCAGCACACAAUUACCCUCAUUCCAAUCACUGGAAUUCUUCACACAGAACUACUAUUCACAUUACAGUGUUUCACACAAACACAGAGCCAUUCUCUCUGCUGAACUACAAUCAGAUUUCCGCAUUCAAUCUUUCUUCUUCUCAAAUAAUACCAAUCACAUUUCCAUUCCAUAAUUCACUUCACAAUAUUCAGAAACUAUCAAUCUUCUUAUUCAAAGAAAAUAACAAAUAAAAGAAAAGAGGUAGCACCAAGCUUAUCCCAGCUCACACUAUCACAGCGAUGGCCCUUGGCUCAUGACUCUCACAGUCUGGCACCCUAAUUAACUUCUACAAUUCUUAUAUACUUU
rnacentral:lncRNA from 1 species